rnacentral:rRNA from 1 species
CAGCAGCCACGGGAAAACGGAGGGGGCUAGCGUUGUUCGGAAUUACUGGGCGUAAAGCGCACGUAGGCGGCUUUGUAAGUUAGAGGUGAAAGCCCGGAGCUCAACUCCGGAAUUGCCUUUAAGACUGCAGAGCUAGCAGGUGAGAGAGGUGAGUGGAAUUCCGAGUGUAGAGGUGAAAUUCGUAGAUAUUCGGAAGAACACCAGUGGCGAAGGCGGCUCACUGGCUCAUACUGGACGCUGAGGUGCGAAAGCGUGGGGAGCAAACAGGAUUAGAUACCCGCGUAGUCCCUGUCUCUUAUAC